AGGCUGAAAUUCGCCUUCAUGAAGUCGGAAUUGCUAGUAAUGGCAGGUCAGCAUACUGCCGUGAAUACGUUCCCGGGCCUUGUACACACCGCCCGUCACACCAUGAGAGUUGGGGAUACCCGAAGCCUGUGAGCUAACUUUUAGAGGCAGCAGUCGAAGGUAGAAUCAAUGAUUGGGGUGAAGUCGUAACAAGGUACC
rnacentral:rRNA from 1 species